rnacentral:rRNA from 1 species
CUCAGUUCGGAUUGCAGGCUGCAACUCGCCUGCAUGAAGCCGGAAUCGCUAGUAAUCGCGGAUCAGCACGCCGCGGUGAAUACGUUCCCGGGCCUUGUACACACCGCCCGUCACACCACGAGAGUUUGUAACACCCGAAGUCGGUGAGGUAACCUUUUGGAGCCAGCCGCCUAAGGUGGGAUAGAUGAUUGGGGUGAAGUCGUAACAAGGUAGCCGUAUCGGAAGGUGCGGCUGGAUCACCUCCUUU